GCAUUGGUGGUUCAGUGGUAGAAUUCUCGCUUCCCAUGCGAGAGGCCUGGGUUCGAUUCCCAGCCAAUGCA